UACAGAGGUCCCGAGCGUUGUUCGGAUUCACUGGGCGUAAAGGGUGCGUAGGUGGCAUAGAAAGUUUGAUGUGAAAGCUCAGGGCUUAACCCUGAAAUGGCAUUGAAUACUGCUGUGCUGGAGGUUUGGAGGGGGGACUGGAAUUCUUGGUGUAGCAGUGAAAUGCGUAGAUAUCAAGAGGAACGCCAGUGGCGAAGGCGAGUCCCUGGACAACACCUGACACUGAGGCACGAAAGCUAGGGGAGCAAACAGG
rnacentral:rRNA from 1 species